GAUGAACGCUAGCUACAGGCUUAACACAUGCAAGUCGAGGGGAAACGACAUCGAAAGCUUGCUUUUGAUGGGCGUCGACCGGCGCACGGGUGAGUAACGCGUAUCCAACCUGCCCACCACUUGGGGAUAACCUUGCGAAAGUAAGACUAAUACCCAAUGACGUCUCUAGAAGACAUCUGAAAGAGAUUAAAGAUUUAUCGGUGAUGGAUGGGGAUGCGUCUGAUUAGCUUGUUGGCGGGGUAACGGCCCACCAAGGCGACGAUCAGUAGGGGUUCUGAGAGGAAGGUCCCCCACAUUGGAACUGAGACACGGUCCAAACUCCUACGGGAGGCAGCAGUGAGGAAUAUUGGGCAAUGGACGAGAGUCUGAACCAGCCAAGUAGCGUGCAGGAUGACGGCCCUAUGGGUUGUAAACUGCUUUUAUAAGGGAAUAAAGUGAGUCUCGUGAGACUUUUUGCAUGUACCUUAUGAAUAAGGACCGGCUAAUUCCGUG
rnacentral:rRNA from 1 species